rnacentral:rRNA from 1 species
AGAGUUUGAUCAUGGCUCAGAUUGAACGCUGGCGGCAGGCCUAACACAUGCAAGUCGAGCGGAUGAAGGGAGCUUGCUCCUGGAUUCAGCGGCGGACGGGUGAGUAAUGCCUAGGAAUCUGCCUGGUAGUGGGGGAUAACGUCCGGAAACGGGCGCUAAUACCGCAUACGUCCUGAGGGAGAAAGUGGGGGAUCUUCGGACCUCACGCUAUCAGAUGAGCCUAGGUCGGAUUAGCUAGUUGGUGGGGUAAAGGCCUACCAAGGCGACGAUCCGUAACUGGUCUGAGAGGAUGAUCAGUCACACUGGAACUGAGACACGGUCCAGACUCCUACGGGAGGCAGCAGUGGGGAAUAUUGGACAAUGGGCGAAAGCCUGAUCCAGCCAUGCCGCGUGUGUGAAGAAGGUCUUCGGAUUGUAAAGCACUUUAAGUUGGGAGGAAGGGCAGUAAGUUAAUACCUUGCUGUUUUGACGUUACCAACAGAAUAAGCACCGGCUAACUUCGUGCCAGCAGCCGCGGUAAUACGAAGGGUGCAAGCGUUAAUCGGAAUUACUGGGCGUAAAGCGCGCGUAGGUGGUUCAGCAAGUUGGAUGUGAAAUCCCCGGGCUCAACCUGGGAACUGCAUCCAAAACUACUGAGCUAGAGUACGGUAGAGGGUGGUGGAAUUUCCUGUGUAGCGGUGAAAUGCGUAGAUAUAGGAAGGAACACCAGUGGCGAAGGCGACCACCUGGACGAAGACUGACGCUCAGGUGCGAAAGCGUGGGGAGCAAACAGGAUUAGAUACCCUGGUAGUCCACGCCGUAAACGAUGUCGACUAGCCGUUGGGAUCCUUGAGAUCUUAGUGGCGCAGCUAACGCGAUAAGUCGACCGCCUGGGGAGUACGGCCGCAAGGUUAAAACUCAAAUGAAUUGAUGGGGGCCCGCACAAGCGGUGGAGCAUGUGGUUUAAUUCGAAGCAACGCGAAGAACCUUACCUGGCCUUGACAUGCUGAGAACUUUCCAGAGAUGGAUUGGUGCCUUCGGGAACUCAGACACAGGUGCUGCAUGGCUGUCGUCAGCUCGUAUCGUGAGAUGUUGGGUUAAGUCCCGUAACGAGCGCAACCCUUGUCCUUAGUUACCAGCACCUCGGGUGGGCACUCUAAGGAGACUGCCGGUGACAAACCGGAGGAAGGUGGGGAUGACGUCAAGUCAUCAUGGCCCUUACGGCCAGGGCUACACACGUGCUACAAUGGUCGGUACAAAGGGUUGCCAAGCCGCGAGGUGGAGCUAAUCCCAUAAAACCGAUCGUAGUCCGGAUCGCAGUCUGCAACUCGACUGCGUGAAGUCGGAAUCGCUAGUAAUCGUGAAUCAGAAUGUCACGGUGAAUACGUUCCCGGGCCUUGUACACACCGCCCGUCACACCAUGGGAGUGGGUUGCUCCAGAAGUAGCUAGUCUAACCGCAAGGGGGACGGUUACCACGGAGUGAUUCAUGACUGGGGUGAAGUCGUAACAAGGUA